rnacentral:rRNA from 1 species
CAAAGCUAAAGUCGGACGUCCUCAGAACUGUUAUACGUAUCCGAAGAUAAGAAGCCCCAUCACGAAAGUAACUUUAUCUCCCCUGACCCCACGAAAGCUGUGACACAAACUGGGAUUAGAUACCCCACUAUGCUCAGCCAUAAACUUUGAUAGGCCAUUACACCCCCUAUCCGCCCGGGAACUACGAGCACUAGCUUAAAACCCAAAGGACUUGGCGGUGGCUUCAGACCCACCUAGAGGAGCCUGUUCUACAACCGAUAUCCCCCGUUGAACCUCACCCUCUCUUGUUCUUUUCCGUCUAUAUACCGCCGUCGUCAGCUUACCCUGUGAAGGGCUAAUAGUAAGCAAAAUUGGCAAAGCCCAAAACGCCAGGUCGAGGUGUAGUGAAUGAGAGGGCAAGAAAUGGGCUACAUUUCCUGGACCAGGAGACACGAACAAUUCUUUGUGCUGAAAAACACAUUUGAAGGAGGAUUUAGCAGUAAGCGAAAAUUAGAGCGUUUCGCUGAAAUUGGCCCUGAAGCGCGCACACACCGCCCGUCACUCUCCCCAGCUACUUAAACUUUAAUACCAAACAUAGGGGAGGCAAGUCGUAACAUGGUAAGUGUACCGGGAGGUGCACUUGGAUAAUCAGGAUUUAGCUAAA